CUUGUGGGUUUGUUUUAUUUGUUGUGCUGGAGUUCUCGUUUUAUGCGAAGGUCAGGACAAGAUGUUCUUUAAAGGUGGAAGUCAUUACGAGGGCAAGUUUGUCAAGGGACAAAUUAUGGAGAAUGGAUCUCAAUACGGGGUAUCAACAGGGGCAGUGGAGAAGUGACGUAUUCGGUGAACGGGGCGCUGUGGUGAAUUGUUCUGGUGACAUCUGUGAUGGACUGUGGAUCAAUGGCUACCCUGCUGAAAUGAAGCAGAAAGCUGAGCGGUGGGAUUUCCGCUGGGAAAGCUGAGCAGCUGAGUCUUGCAGGAGCCAGUGGCAGCGGCAGAUCGCACGUGACAUCCAAAGAAUACCAACUACAAAAGGAUCAGCACUCUGUAUAGAAUUCUAAGACAUUACAAGGCCACUAUGGUACUUGUGGUCCGUGAAGUGACCAUGCCCCCUUUCUUGGGCCAGGCUCCCACAUCUGCCUUCAAACUCUCGUAUCUUUCCAGAGAAAACUGAAACCAAGAACAAAGAUUCUUUCACAGUCACCAGCGAGUAAAAAGGAUCAAACCCCCCAGCCAGGGCUCUUGUCACUGAAAUCAAUGGAAUGCUUCCCACUGAAUGCAGUGGAAGUUGGAUUCAGUCUUUGCA
rnacentral:lncRNA from 1 species